rnacentral:rRNA from 1 species
AUGUACAUGCCCACAACAUUAAUACACUGGGUCCCAUCAAAACUACGCAGUUAAGUGCGCUUAAGCUAGAGUAGUACUAGGAUGGGUGACAUCUCAUGAAGGCCUAAUGUUUUACAUG